CACGUAGGGGGCGAGCGUUGUCCGGAAUCAUUGGGCGUAAAGAGCUCGUAGGCGGCUCAGUAAGUCGGGUGUGAAACCCUCAGGCUCAACCUGGGGACGCCACCCGAUACUGCUGUGGCUAGAGUCCAGUAGGGGAGUGUGGAAUUCCCGGUGUAGCGGUGAAAUGCGUAGAUAUCUGGAGGAACACCGGUGGCGAAGGCGACAUCCUGGACCAACACUGACGCUGAGGAGCGAAAGCCAGGGGAGCAAACGGG
rnacentral:rRNA from 1 species